UCCGGAGUAGCUCAAUGGUAGAGCAUUCGACUGUUAAUCGAAUUGUUGCCGGUUCGAGUCCGGCCUCCGGAGCCA
rnacentral:tRNA from 1 species